AAUCGGUUUCAAUAAUCUGUGUGCCAAGCAGUUUACUCUCAUAUUUAGUUCUUUUAAAAACAGUGUGGCUACUGCUAUCCUCCGGAUUUCACAGACAAAGGAAUGCAAGUGCAGAGAGGUCAAGGACCUUGCCCAAGGUCACUUGACUGGUAAAUGGCUGCUAUACAGCCUUCCUAAUGUUAUCAGGUCACAAAUUUAAGACACUGUGGAUUUUCACAAGGGAGAGAGUCUGGUGGUUUCUUGUAAAUGAUGACUUUGUUUAGUUUCUGUCUUCUCCAUGGAAUGUACACAUCCUGAGAGUAGAGUCUUUGCUGGAUGCAUUUGUUGACUAUGACUAAGCCCUGGCUUGUCUCAACUGCUUCUUCCCUAGCCAUUGUGAUGCCACUCAACACUGGCAGAUAUAGCUUCUCCCUGACCCUGGUCCAAUGAGAGCCCCACCCAGGGCACUGCAGAACGGGAGCCAUGGCCUUGUCUUCUGUUCAUGCGUCUUGGCAGUGCCUUUGAACACUGAGCAGCCAGCUUGGCCUCCCUGCUCCAGACCACUGAGUUAUGAAAGUUGGGAGUCAUCACUGGCUUUGGUCUCUGACACGUGGAAGAAGUCAGUCUCCAGAAAAAGGCUAAAACCUCCAAGCACAGAGGGCUCCUGCUCCUCCCUGUCCUUCCACAUAUCAACCUCGGUGAAGGGUGACACCUGA
rnacentral:lncRNA from 1 species